rnacentral:siRNA from 1 species
UUCAUUUCAGCUACCGAUUUAU